rnacentral:tRNA from 1 species
GUUAUAGUAGUGUAAUUGCAUAGUGGGCUUUCAUUCCAUUGGAACAAAAUUUUUGUCUAUAAUU